AAUUUUCCUGUUUUACUGCCCAAAAUCAACCAAUUAUUUACAUAAAAUGUAUACCUGCCGUCUAGCCAUCAGAUUAAAUUUGGACUCCAUUUAAAAAACCAAUUGCUCAACCCUUCUGUGACUCACACGCUCAGCUUCAUCUGCAUCAUCCUCUCACAUCUUAGACAAAACUGCAAGCUGUUAUGCCCAAAAGUUGUGGCAUUGCAUAUACAGUUACAGGUUCCUUCUUGCCUGAAAGAUGUUUACACCUUUAAACACUUUUGGUGGGGUUGUUGCGUCAUGAAAUUGUAUUGACUGCCAUUCCCUGCAUCUCCCACUUCAUAGCUACAAAAAACAAGCCUACAAAAUUUUGAGAUAAAGAUGUGCUUCUAUGUUCUUGAUUUAUCAUGAAUUCAUAGGUUGUGUGGUAUGCCAUUGGAUCAAUUGGAUUUCGCGAGUCAGCCGCCGAUGUCAAUCUACAACGCAGUUUCUUUAUUGGAAUUGUGUGGUCCUGGCACAGAGAUCCUUGAUGCUGGCCUUUGUCCAUUACAGAAGAGUGACUUCUACCAACUCUCUGCUCCAUCCUUAUCUUCGCUACCCACACUCAUCUAGCUUCUUUGCUUAUUAUGCUGCUAAACAAUUUAUCGUACUUCACUACCGAGUUAGACCAGUCGCUUCAGUCCGCCUGUCACUCUCCACCGAAUUAUGCCCAGGUAAUGCAGAUGAGAUAUCAAGAAGAUGGAAUUCCGAGACUCGUCAUCAACGUGGAUCAUCGCGACCGGCACCAAGAUUCGUCAUCAACGCUGAUCAUCGUAUUGUUGGUAUUGUUUCGUUAUGUGUUAGUUAAGCCGUUGGCUGCCACGCCUUUGUUCUCCCCUAGCUCCUUAGCACGGGCCUCCUAGAGGCCUCCUAAAGCCGUGCAUUCCAUCCUCCCUUGUCACCGUGUCAGCCCGGACUUGUCAGCAAUGGCAAGUCCCACCUUGGUCAUGGAUCCUUCAGACAUGGCGCGUAGAGAGUAGAAAACAACCGGGUUGUACGGUGUGGCAGCUAACGGGUUAGCUAAUUGUGUGUGUGUAUAUGUGUAUGUAUUUAUAUUAUGUUUGUAAAAAGUGGAGGAAUUGUGGGUG